AACGAACGCUGGCGGCAGGCUUAACACAUGCAAGUCGAACGCACCUUUCGGGGUGAGUGGCAGACGGGUGAGUAACGCGUGGGAAUCUACCCUUCUCUACGGGAUAGCUCCGGGAAACUGGAAUUAAUACCGUAUACGUCCUGAGGGAGAAAGAUUUAUCGGGGAAGGAUGAGCCCGCGUUGAAUUAGCUAGUUGGUGGGGUAAAGGCCUACCAAGGCGACGAUCCAUAGCUGGUCUAAGAGGAUGAUCAGCCACAUUGGGACUGAGACACGGCCCAAACUCCUACGGGAGGCAGCAGUGGGGAAUAUUGGACAAUGGGCGCAAGCCUGAUCCAGCCAUGCCGCGUGAGUGAUGAAGGCCCUAGGGUUGUAAAGCUCUUUCAGUGGGGACGAUAAUGACGGUACCCACAGAAGAAGCCCCGGCUAACUUCGUG
rnacentral:rRNA from 1 species